rnacentral:rRNA from 1 species
AACGAACGCUGGCGGCAGGCUUAACACAUGCAAGUCGAACGCGAACGCACCUUCGGGUGUUAUUAGAGUGGCAGACGGGUGAGUAACGCGUGGGUAUCUACCCAGUGGUAAGGAAUAACUCAGGGAAACCUGGGCUAAUACCUUAUAAGCCCUCAGGGGGAAAGAUUUAUCGCCAUUGGAUGAGCCCGCGUCGGAUUAGCUAGUUGGUAGGGUAAAAGCCUACCAAGGCGACGAUCCGUAGCUGGUCUGAGAGGAUGAUCAGCCACACUGGGACUGAGACACGGCCCAGACUCCUACGGGAGGCAGCAGUGGGAAUAUUGGACAAUGGGCGCAAGCCUGAUCCAGCCAUGCCGCGUGAGUGAUGAAGGCCUUAGGGUUGUAAAACUCUUUCACCGGUGAAGAUAAUGACGGUAGCCGGAGAAGAAGCCCCGGCUAACUCCGUG